rnacentral:rRNA from 1 species
CACAAUGGGCGCAAGCCUGAUGCAGCCAUGCCGCGUGUAUGAAGUAAGGCCUUACGGGUUGUAAAGUACUUUCAGCAGUGAGGAAGUGGGUAUGUUAAUAGCAUAUUCAUUUGACGUUAGCUGCAGAAGAAGCACCGGCUAACUCCGUGCCAGCAGCCGCGGUAAUACGGAGGGUGCGAGCGUUAAUCGGAAUUACUGGGCGUAAAGCGCAUGCAGGUGGUUUGUUAAGUCAGAUGUGAAAGCCCGGGGCUCAACCUCGGAAUUGCAUUUUGAAACUGGCAAACUAGAGUACUGUAGAGGGGGUAGAAUUUCAGGUGUAGCGGUGAAAUGCGUAGAGAUCUGAAGGAAUACCGGUGGCGAAGGCGGCCCCCCUGGACAGAUACUGACACUCAGAUGCGAAAGCGUGGGGAGCAAACAGGAUUAGAUCCCCCUGGUAG